rnacentral:rRNA from 1 species
UACGUAGGGUGCAAGCGUUAAUCGGAAUUACUGGGCGUAAAGCGCGCGUAGGCGGCUUUGUAAGUUAGAGGUGAAAGCCCGGGGCUCAACCCCGGAACUGCCUUUAAGACUGCAUCGCUUGAAUCCGGGAGAGGUGAGUGGAAUUCCGAGUGUAGAGGUGAAAUUCGUAGAUAUUCGGAAGAACACCAGUGGCGAAGGCGGCUCACUGGACCGGCAUUGACGCUGAGGUGCGAAAGCGUGGGAGCAAACAGGAUUGAGAUACCCCGAGUAGC